rfam:Gossypium hirsutum cultivar TM-1 chromosome 2, whole genome shotgun sequence
GGUGACAUGGCCGAGUGGUAAGGCGGGGGAUUGCAAAUCACUUAUUCCCCAGUUCAAAUUCGGGUGUUGCCU